AGCGCUACAGUGUUUUCUGAAUUUGUGUGUGCAAAAAACCAAUUUUUCAAAUAACAAAUGAAGCUUUUCAUAAACAUAAAUCUGAUUUAAAUUUAAUAAUUUUAUAUAUUUUCUGAUAAUGUUAAGGUGCUGGUAGUAUUCUGUGUAUUGAAUGGACUCUUGAUGCCAUCUAAAAUGGCCUAAGCCACGACAAGCCAGACAUGAAUUACAUUUUUUGUAAACAUCAUUUUGAGAAAAGAAGCUAAAAAUAAUCCAGAGUUAUACUGGAAUCAAAAGAAGUUUUCCAUAAACGUAAGUAAAUCAGAUACGUAAAAAACGUUACAGAGAAUACUCCAAGGAUAAAGAAUUAUCGAAAAUUAAUUCUAAUGAUUUACUUUCUUUAUUUUCUUUUAUGAUGAUCAAAUAUAUAAUUUUUUGACUGAUUAGUAUUUUAAUUGAAAAGAAGGCAUCUCGACAUUGGAAUCGAAGGUUAUCCGUUCAAUAAUUGUGAUAUAAAGGUAGAUGAUACUCGUUUAAAUAUAAUAUAAUUUUACAAAAAUGAAUGAGAAUAAUGUAAAGGACUUGUGUGAGUUCAUUUUAAUGUUUGAAGAAAUAGUAAAAGAAAUCAGAGAAGCUGAUGAAAAAUUGAAAUCACUUAAACUAAUGGAUAUGUCAUCGUUGAGCGAUGUCGGUAGAGUUAAUAUAAAUGAAUCAAAAAAGAAUCUGGAAAAGCUAUUAGAUACAACCAAACUUCGAAUUCGUAACCAAAUAAAAAAUUUCCAUUUUUGGAUGGGAAAGAUCUCAGAAGAUUGGGGCAGCACAGCAGAGCUUCGUCAUACUAUUUGGGCUCUUAAAAAUUAUCUUCUCAAUAGUUGGAUAGAUAAACAAUUAAAAAUGUUAUCUUAAUUUAUUAUUUUUUCUUUUAACAUAUUGAAGUAAAAAUAUAUUUUUAUAAGCUUAAAAAUAAAAUGAUAU